GGAGGGGGAUGGGAUGAUGAGGGCCGAGGAGUUAGAGGAGUAGUCGGCGCGUCCCUGCUAGCUGGAGGUAUGUAUCCUGCUAGAGUCGGCACGCCACGUUGCUGCGCGAGAUAUACCGCGGCGUUUGCUGCCCAGGAUAGAUGCUGGGCCGCGGAUAACUAGUUCAGACCUAAUAACAACUGUUCCUACCUCCCUAGAUAUAACCGUCGCUACUGUGGCUUAUCGGCCACUAUGAAACUAGAGAGCAGAGUUAAGGAAACGAUAGAUAAUACAAAAGUAGACGUAUGCCAUAGCGAUAUUCAUUAGUCAAUAAGGCAGACACAAAGGUAACGGAACAAUACAAAAAUAGGUGACCUUAUAUAUACGAAGUACGUAUGUGUAUAAACGUCGGAUAUGUUCAAUGUCAGUUGAACGAACGAAUUAAGGGGCUUUUUUUUUGAAAGAACGAAUUAAUACUUCAACUGAUACUCGCGCUCAACUAAUCGGACACACACUGAUCAGCAACAGAGAUUGUACGAACAAUCAAAUAAUAGGACAGCCGACGAACAAGGUGUCCGCCCUGGAUGUCAAGUCUAAUGUGUUUAUAAGUUAUACCUUUGAAAGCUGUGUCGCGACGAUGCGUAUGCUGCUGUAUGGUUGGAGAGAGACCACGGGGGAGUAGGAAACACCGGCUACUCCAACGUAGAGCGGUUGGCCUGGACGUGUUCCUAAACGCCAGGAGACCUUACGGGUGCUCGCAGGGUUGAGGGUUAGGAGUAUAAAAAGCAAGCAGCAGUAACGACGGUACUGGUACGACAGUAGCAGCACCAGUGGGGAAGUUGGUGCGUAGAGUAGUAACUGACAUAGUCGAUAAGUGGACAGGAGGACAGUAUGGACGACUAAACUCCGGCUCCUCUCAACACCACUAACACACAUAUAUAGAACCUAAUAACUUGAUCAC
rnacentral:rRNA from 1 species